rnacentral:rRNA from 1 species
UACGUAGGGUGCAAGCGUUGUCCGGAAUUAUUGGGCGUAAAGAGCUCGUAGGCGGUCUGUCGCGUCUGGUGUGAAAACUCAAGGCUUAACCUUGGGCCUGCAUCGGGUACGGGCAGACUAGAGUGCGGUAGGGGAGACUGGAAUUCCUGGUGUAGCGGUGAAAUGCGCAGAUAUCAGGAGGAACACCGGUGGCGAAGGCGGGUCUCUGGGCCGUAACUGACGCUGAGGAGCGAAAGCAUGGGGAGCAAACAGG